CAUGCUGGGACGUGUAGUCUGAAGCCCUAGAGCUGAGCCGUACACAACUUUCUGGGAGGUAGCCCUGUACUGAUCUGGAGCACAGCUGGUUUGCUAUUAAGCAUAAGAUGGACCAAAUCACAGAGUUGGACAUGUCCAGGGCAUCGGGCACUUCAGGCACUUCUUUCAUCACAAGGUUAGCAAGAGCAUUAAGAUAAGAAAAUAACAUAACUGCAAUAAACUUAAGAAACAAAAGAGGUAAACCUAAUUCUAAUGAAUGUUGACUUUGGAGCCUGGAAGAUGAAGACAGGAACAAACAUACUGAGUAGGAUGGAUGCCCUCAAAGAGUUUUUGACAAAGAUGUUUUAUGAUGUGAUCUCUAUUUUUAAAAAGCUUACUGUACUUUCUGGGUAGGGAAUGGCUUCAAGUGGGAUGAGAGUGGAAGCAGGGAGACUAGUUAGGACAGCAUGACAGGUGGGAGAUGGAAGUGACUUGGAAGGGGGAGGUGGCAAUAGAGAUGGUGAGAAGUGGUUGGAUUUUAGAGAUUUUAUGAACUUGCUAAUGGCCUGGGUGCAGAUAUUAAGGGAAAGGGAAGGGAGAAUUUAGGAAAGACUCUCAAGUUUUUAGCUUGAAGUAGAGGCAUUUGCAUAUAUAUGAACUUACAUGUGUGUGUAUACAUAUAUAUAUAUAUUUAUAUAUUUGUUUAAAUAUAUACAAAAUAUUUCUAGAAGGCUAUAUAAGAAUUUCCAUGGGAGGUACGGCACAUUGCAAAAGAUGGCCACAAAUUCCUGCCAAUCCCUGUAUGCAUGGCCUUUUGCAAUGUGACUUUCUUGCUUCUCCCAUCAAGAGGUGGAGUCUGUUUUUCCCCACUCUGAAAGCUGUCUUUCCAGGUAACUUGCUUUGAUUACUGGAAUGCAACUGAAGUGGUGUCAGAGCUUUGGGCCUAGGCCUUAGGAAACCUUGCAGCUUCCAUCCUUUCCCUCCUGCCACCUUGAGAUCAACAUGUGAAGAAGAUUCCUUAAGGAUGAGAGACCACAGUGAGAGAGGGACCCAGAAGACAGGCAACCUGAACAACCACAAAUGUGAGUCAGGCCAUCUUAGACCUUAUAGCCCCAGGCCAUCUGCCGAAGGUCUGAAGCAGCAUAAUUCACACCACAAGAGCCCAGCCGAAGCACUGCCCAGCAGAAUUACUCACCCGCAGAAUUGAGAGCAAAUAAAAUAGCUGUUGCUUUAGACCACUAAGUUUUGGGGUGAUUUAUUGCACAGUAAUAGAUAGCUGUUACAGGAGGGAACUGAGUGGCUGAGGAACAGCAAUAGGAGAUAGAUUUUCAUUCACCCUUUUCUAUCAUUUGAACUUUGAACCUUGUGAACAUAUUACCCAUUAAUUCUCAAAAACUUUCAGGCCACAUUCAGUGUACAAGUCUCUUAUUUUGAACACAAAGAGGACGGCUUUCAAUUGACCCGUCAUUACCACUGAUUUUUGAUAAACUUUCUCAAAGCAUAACAAACCUACAGAAAAGUACACAAAUCAUAAUAAUACAGCUUGAUGAACUUUCACAAAGUGAACAUAACCAGUGUUAUGUGUAACUAGCAUCCGAAUCAAGAAACAACACCAGUCUCCUUCAUGCUAGUUGCUACCCACAAGGAAUGUGUUUGUUUAUUUAUAUUUAUAUAUCCCAGGUGAUCCUUGAACAACACAGAUUUGAACUGUGCAGGUCCACUUAUACAUGGGUUUUUUUCAGUAAGUACAGUACAGAAUUGUAAAUGUAUUUUCCUUACGAUUUUUCUCAAAAGCAUUUUCUUCUCUGGCCUUACUUUAUUAUAAGAAUACAGUAUAUAAUACACAUAACAUACAAA